rnacentral:lncRNA from 1 species
CAAGGAUUGGGAUAUAAACCCAGGCAUUCGAGCCGGCAAUGGCAACCCCCUUUGGGUCCCCUCCCCUUGUAUGGGAGCUCUGUUUUCACUCUAUUAAAUCUUGCAACUGCACUCUUCUGGUCCAUGUUUGUUACGGCUGGAGCUGAGCUUUCGCUCGCCCUCCACCACUGCUGUUUUGCGGCCGUGGCAGACUCGCCACUGACUUCCAUUCUUCCGCAUCCGGCAGGGUGUCCCCUGUGCUCCUGAUCUAGCAAGGCACCCACUGCCAUUCCGGAUCGGGCUAAAUUAGGCUCGCCAUUGUUCCUGCAUGGCUAAGUGCCUGGGUUCGUCCUAAUCGAGCUGAACACUAGUCACUGGGUUCCACGGUUCUCUUCCGUGACCCACGGCUUCUAAUAGAGCUAUAACACUCACCCCAUGGCCCAAGAUUCCAUUCCUUGGAAUCCGUGAGGCCAAGAACCCCAGGUCAGAGAACACGAGGCUUGUCACCAUCUUGGAAGCAGUCCACCGCCAUCUUGGAAGCUGUGUGAGAAAGGACCCCCGGUAAUGAUGCUAUGUUCUCAUAAUUCUAUUAAGACACCCAUGACUUUGAAUUUUCCCAUUAUUGGAGUUCUUAACUUUGAUCAUUUGAUUCAAGAGGGUACCUGCCAGGAAGUUUUACUCAGUGGUUGUUCUUUUGUCCAUUAUCAAUAAGUAUUUUGUGAGGAAAUACUUAGAGACGUGUAAAUAUUUUGUUCCUCUUUAAAUCUGCACCCACUUUUAGCAUCCCCUGAUAUUUCUUGGCUGAAUUUAUUAUUGUUACAAUUGCUAUCCAAUUGUGAUUUUCCUGCUUCUAUUAUUCUUCCACAUUUGUUGACAUUAUAUGAAGGAACACUAUCUCUUCUUUGUUUCUUUCUUUAUGCUAGUAUAGACAGAUGGAUUAUUUUAUUUCAUUGAUUAAAAUUUAUUAUUAUGAAUCGUUCAUGAAAUUGUCCCAAAUUUGGUCAGUGGGAAUCUCUUCAAGCUGGCUUUUGUGUCCUUUUGACAUUGAGAGGAGGUGCCAGUGGGCUUCCUGGGUCUAGUAGGGGCUCAGAAAGCUGUGAAACUCACUCAUUUCCUGCAUCAGGACUUAACUUUGGUCCUGAAUGAGUAAUAUUGAAGAUAAGUGCUUAAAAUAUUCCUAACAUCAGAAUUUGUGCAUGUGUUUUCUUCCGCAAGAAAGCUAUAAACAGGGAAAAUUUUGCUGCAAGCUUCCCUGUGUCCUCUCUCCCUCUCUCCCUUCCCCCUCCUCUGAAACUAAAAGGACUGCUAAAAGCCCAUUUUUCUGUGACCAGCAGACCGUAUCUACGCUCCCAAUUCCAAUUCUUUGUAAACACAAUUUGUAAAAUCCUGUGAGAUCCUGUCUCCUUUGCCAUGCCGCUGCAAGGUCAUAAAGUAGAUAAAACUUGAGUUACAAUUCCGGUUUUCCUCAAGAUCUGAGACGUGUUAAUUGUCUUUGUUUCUCGCUCUGGUAGCAUCUUCCUACCGCACGUAUUUCCCGCCUUAAAUAAAAGGUGAUAGAAAAAUCUAAC